UUUUAUGUUGGUGAGAAUUCUGGAUCCAACCCUACAUAUGAUAUGGAUAUUUCUUUCUCUAUUAAAGGACAUGAACAAAGUUAUAAACUGAUAACUAAUGCAUUUGAUAUUAGCAGGAACCUUACUAAGUUUAUUUUUUCUUUAAAUUGUAGAUCCUAUGGAACAAAGAAGCAGAUAAUGAUCACAGAAGUGCAACAAAGAGCACCAGGACCUGAUCAUCAAAUGUUAUGGUGUAGAUUUAAUCAGGAACAGGACACCUAAGUUGAACUCUGGCAAGGUUGUCCCUUGCAGAAGGUUUGAUACCCAGGCUUCUUUUGUACAAGUCCCUAGUCCACCCUCAUCUUGAGAACUGUUCCGGUGUCUGGGAUCCCUACAACAUCUCGGAUGUCCAGGACGCUUCUUCACAAUGGGGACCACAAGAGAAGCAACAGUUUGACUGAGAUGAUCAGCACCUUUUAGUUGCCUACUAUAUCUACAACUACAAGGCACUCUGCAAGAAGACUGGGAAUGGUGCGCAAGAUAGUCAAUGGUCUCUCCGCUCUUCCUUGAAAAUUUUCCCACUGCACUACUUAUAGCUAUUUGCGCCCUCUAUAUAGCAAACAAUGCCUAAUCUGUGCCUGUUGGUCCCCCAUGAUCCUCUUUUUCUUAUAUUAAUUGAGAGCUGAUUUGAUGAGAUAACCACCUGUCAGUGACCUUGCAGGGUGGUCUUAUCCCCCUGGCCAAACUAGUACAGACGGGCUUUAACAAAUCACGAGCAGGAAGUACCAUGACAUGACCCUCCAGUUGCACCAAGCCAGAAGCGACAUAGGUAGACAAGUUUGCAUUUGCCCAACACUCUAUCCCAAAGUUAAUGGAACUGACUUCCAGCAAAUAUAGUGCAUGCUGACAGUCCAGAGAACUGCCAGGGACUACUUCUGAGGCAUCUACUCUCCUUAUCCCACUUAGAAACCAUCUGUCUUCCUCACACCACUUGUAAUCUUUAGUAUUAGUUCAUCCUCGUGAUAGGCUACAACGCCUUUUGAAGAUUACCAGAAGAAGAAGAAGAAGAUAUAUCGAGGAUCAUGAAAGUAAUCAUUUGUUCUUUUAAAUGCGUGUACAUGUAACAUUUUUUUUGGAUAUUUAAUCUUAAGUCAAGUUCUGACAACAAUAUGAGGGAUAUGCUGAACUGGAUAGUAAAUUGAAGGGGGGGGGGAUAAAGUGAUGUAGUUCAAUAGUAAGACUGUAUUAAUAUAAUUAAUAUUAAUAAUAAUAACAAUAUUAAAAAUAGUAACAAAAAUGACAAUGAUCAUGAUAAUAGCAGUAAUAAUAAUGAUAAUACAGGUAGUAGUAAAAACAAUAAUAAUGUCCAAUGUUAGAUAAAGUACUCAUAAAACUCAGUAUAUACCUGUGCUUUACAUAAUAAAAUAGCAUGUUGGUAUUAUUGAAUAUUUUUUUCUUCAAAAUCUACAGUAAAUUUUUACAACUGAAAGAUUUGAAUUCAAGAGACAGCAUCCCCCCAUCCAUUUUUCAUCCUUUUGUUAAUGUCAUGUUGGAUUUAAAAAGACUUUGUAGAAACAAAAUAUGU